ensembl:lncRNA
UGACUUUUUAAAUGUCUUUAUUAAAAGACAGGCUGUUUAUUCCUCUUUGCCUUCUUCCUCACUGGUUUUCAUGACACAGUUCACCUGAUCCUGCCAAUUAAAGGAAACAAUUACUUCAAAACAAAUCAGUUAAGUUCUCACAUAUUGAUCAGCAACAACCAUCUAAACCUCCCAACAGAACAGUUAUAUCAAUCACAGAAUGUAGUAGUAAUAGUAUUUAAUGAUCUCUAACAUUCAAGAUGAUCCAUUAAUUGGCACUCUCUCCCUAGGUGUAAGAUACAGCCCUCAAUUCUCCUACUUUUAAGUUCCAAACCAUGACAAUCCUUUAAACUUAAAGUGAUAACCUAGGCUCUAUUUUACUCCAUUGCUCAGAAGUUAGUAUCUACAUAUAUACACUUCGUGAACAUUCUAUUUUUUUUUUCAUUUUGCCAGUGGAAUUGCCUCUCAAUAUUAAGUCACUUCUGGCAGAAAUUGUUAAAAUUUUAUAAACAAUGUUACAAUAUUAAUUUCUUUUGUUUAACCUCUUUUUUACAUGUAUAAAUAUCAUCGUAAAUACGUAUCAACCUAAUAGGAUAGAAAUAUUUUUGUUUGCCAAGAGAUGGUCCAUCUAGCUUCUUAGCAUGUUCAUCAGAUUAUCAAGCUUCAUUUUGGGGUUGAGAAAUACAUUGUGUAGCAUCUAGUAUAAAUAUAUUAUUGUUUUAUGACAGGAUUCAUCAUGGUAGAAACAUCACUGGUUUGUUCUGUUUAUGGUUUUCAGAUGUAUAAUUUAGAGAAAUCUCUACCCAUGGUAAAACAGCUUAAGGUUAAAAAGUUUUCAUUACCAGUGGAAUCUGACUUAAUAGUGAAUUGUUUUAAAAAAUAGUGAAUUGUUUUAAAAUACUAUUUUCUAGUUAUAUAAGCAAUUUAUAAGUUUUAUGGUAUAUCAGACCUGAGUUCAUUAAAUAGGCUGAUCAAAGGAAUGUUUCUGUAUUAUGUGUAUUAACAGACAGGAACUCCUGGAGAGGUGGUGUUUUUUAGAUGGUUGCAAGUAAUAGAAAAGAGUCAUUUUUCUUAAUAAAAAUAUCAUCUAUAUUAGUUUUCCAUCUAAUCCUAAGCAUGUGACCCCACUAUUUAAUUAUUUCAAUGAAAAACAGGUAACUUCAAAUUUUCUGAACCUUCCUUUCACAGUCCUCUAUGGACAGAGGUAAAUAUACAUACAUAUUCUUUAAAAGUCCGUUUUUCUGAGGCUUUAGCCAAACAGAAGAGGCCUGCCAUACUCAGUAGGCUGUAAAAAGUAUACAACCCAAGAGUUCUUCUGAAGGCAAUUUAUAGAGUAAUAAUAACUGAACUUACCUAGAAGCUUCAUCAGUCUAAACAGGUUGUGGCUUUUCUUGAUCACUUCAUGCUGUGUGAUGUCUUGAAAACAAUUAUUUUACCCACCUAUCAUUAAAAAUAUGUUUGUUAAAAAUAACACUCAGCAGAAGUUCCCCUGCAACUCAGGGGUUUAAGGAUCCAGCUGUACCUAUGGCACGGAUUUGAUCCUUGGGAACUUCCGCAUGCUAUGGGUAUGGGUGUGGGAAAAUACCACCCCCAAACCCAAAACAUGUAUUACAUUUAUUCAUUUUUAACAUGUAUAUUUUAUUCUGGUAUCAAUAAUAGGUAUGUAUUUUGGCACAGGUUCCAACACUGUUGGUUUUUUGGGCUACACUAGUGCUUACAAAAAACCUGGCCCACACCAAGGUUAUACUCGCCUAAAUUUUCUUCAAAUGCAGUUGACCCUUGAACAGGAGGGAUUAGAGGUGGGGUUCCUGUCGUGGCUCAGUGGUUAACGAAUCCAACUAGGAACCAUGAGGUUUUUGAUCCCUGGCCUUGCUCAGGGGGUUAAGGAUCUGUUGUUUCUUACAUUUUACGUAAAAAGGAGUCUCAAGAGAAUUAGUUCAAAAAACUAAAUGUAGAAUUAAUGAAAAUACAGCAUUUCUAAAUUCAAAACUUCUUUUGGAGUUCUCUUGUGGCACAGCAUGUUUGGGAUCUGGUGGAAUCACUGCAGUGGCUUGGGUUGAGACCCCAGGCCCAGGAACUUCCACAUGCUAUGGGUGUGGCAAAAAAAGACUUCUCUAUCUUCUAUGUUUUCUCUACAUCUUCUCUAAAUCUUUCAUCUUUUUCAAUCCUACUUUGUAAUAAACUCUAUUUUGUAAUAAAUAUUCCCAACCUUUUCUCAUUACAAUCCACUUAAACCCACAGGCACACACCUAUUUAAAAAACCAAAAACAUAGGAGUAUUAUCUUAGAAGAGAAGACCUUAAAAAUCAGUUUUCACUCCACAUAGCUUAAAUCAUUAAAUAGAAAUCAAACCCCAAAUCCUCUAAGGUUAAUCUGUGUUAAGACUUCCCAAAAAACUUACCUCAAGUGAAUGAACACUCCAGUAUCAGCCAACAUCAAUCAUUCUUACCUAAAGAAUAAUAAGAAAAAGUUAAUAUAAAAGACAAGGGCAAAAAGAUGUGAAAAUGCUAGUUAAUUUCAAAAUUUGAAGAGUAAAAUUCCAGAGACAAAGAUUGGGGGGCAAGUUACAGCAUAAAAAAUAGGAAGAAACUUUAUGGGGGGGAAAAAAAAUCUAAAAUCAUUCUGACGUAAGGUAGUUGUAGACACCUGAAUUGGAAUGAGAGCUGUUUCUUCUUUUAAAACACAAAAGCCUAACUACUAUUUUCACCAGUCUGAGCACAAUGAAGUUUGACUGCAACCCAAAAUAUACUAUCCCUUAUGUGAAGGUAUGUGACAACGUUUACCUCACCAAAUGAGUUUUAACAUCGGCUCUUUUCAUAUAAAAGCACAUACCCUGCUCCCCACCAAGUAUGUCUUCCAUUCUCAGGUGGACUGACCACCUUCNNNNNNNNNNNNNNNNNNNNNNNNNNUCCACAGUACAAUGCAGUUGUUAUCUGCACUCCUAUGUAUUGGCCUCAUUCUUUCCCUCUUAAGUCCUCACUGAGUUUUUAACUUAGGGCAGGGAAGCUAUGCCUUAUCAGGACAGCAAGGAACCUGAAUUUUUCUGAGGGAGAAGACAUUCACCUUCACUAUAUUAUCUCUGGCAGGGCCACAGUGCACAAAAACCAGAAAGAUCAGCCUUAACUCAAAUUCCAGGUUUUUCUUCCUUCCUGAUUAUCAGUGACUGCCAAGGGUAUAUGAAACAGUUCCCUGUUGCACAUGUACCAUCCAUAAGGGAUACUAUAUCGUUUUGCAUUCUUCCUCCAUUCUCCAGAUUAUUCUAUUCUGCCUUCCAUCCCCCUUUUCACCCUCCAAAUAAAAUCUUUUCAGCACUGGUGUUCAAAAGCAACAUUUUUAUGUUUGAUGGUUUACCAACAACUGUGAGAUUUCCACAGUUGAGUCUUAAAAAUUGCCAAUCAUUAUCUAGCAGCAAUGACAGAUGAUUAGGAGCAGCCAAAUCCUCUGAGUUCUUUGCCUAAGAGGCAGCCAUUUGGGAACUGCACUAGCUGACAGAGCACUGAAACAGUAUCAGCUAAAGCCAAAACCAAGUAAAGGCCCAGAGCAAACAUCCCGGCUCUCUAGAACCUGUCCAAAAUCAUUAAGGGAAAGGCAGUAAAUGCAGGACUGUGGAUCAUGUCACUGCAGCUGACAAUGAUUAACAAUAGGAAACAUGCAACCCCCAUUAAGGUUAUAAGUCCAAAACUAGUCACACGCAUCUGUUCGUUGGGGAAAAGUGAGACUAUUGAGCAUUCUUUGUAGGUUUUGCAACCUUAUGUGAAGAGUACCCAUUGCAUUUCUUUCAUCUUUCAUAAAGCACCGGUAUCUGUUCCAAGGGCCUAACAGUACGAAAAUACAUUCUGGCAUCACACCUCUGAACUUCAGACCGUUCUCAUUAAAAAUAGUAAUUUUGGUUUGUAAUAAGAAAAGACUAUGAAAUACAAUGCAAGCACCUCAGUAUAGAGUUAUUACUGAAACCCACUUAAUCCCCAGCCUUUUGACUGAUCUUUUAAAAAGACCUUCUGCACUAAGAUUCACAAAUUAUAGCUACUUACAAAUCAAACCUAGUUAGAAUCAACUUAAGUCACAGGUUUCUCAUUGAAAGUGCAAAAGCCUAUUCGUCUUGAAAUAAGUAGAAUGAAGCAAAAUUAACCCCCCACCCGAAUGAUGUCCAUAUAUGUAUUUUAACAAGUACAUUCUCUCAAGAUUGUUACUGACUGUUAAGAAAUAAAUCUGACCUUUUAUUUCUAAACAAUCACUGAACCAUGGUAGCAAUUAUUGGCCACCAUAAUGGAUUAUCCCAUGGGAAAAACCCUAUCAGGGUUGCAGAAUGUCAAGAAUGUCACUGAGUAUUGUUUGAUGUGCAUUGUGUUACUAAUAUAGAGAGCUAAACUAGUCACCAUUUGCUCUUUUACCUAGCAGGAGAACCAAGUCACUUGGUUGAAUGGACUACAUAUUAAGCACAAAUUUGUCCCCACCUUGUGAACUGCUUGCCAAAAGGCAAGUCAUUUUUCUUGAUAUAAUGAAAGAAAAUUCUCAGUCAUGAAGAGUUUCACCAAUAUUUAUGCAAAGUAAACCAAACUUCUCAGUUACAGAGCAGAAAACAUUAUGAAAGCUGUUUCUCAUGCAUGGUAGCUAAAAACCAGUUCAUAGACCAAAAAGUUCAGCUGAAUUGAGGUCUGGAACAACAGUCGAUGCAAAGUUUAAAUCCUAAGCAACAAAGGAAGAUGCUUUUGAAGACUUACUACUGUUUUCAUAAUUAAACAUUUUGGAUUAUAACGUCACAUCCCUCAAGCUAAGGGAACCAAAUUCAAAAAGCUACUCUGAACAUUUGCAGUUACCCUACAGAAUACGACGAAGUCUUACGAUUGGGAAAUGAUUCCCAACAUGGAUUCAAUAGGCAAGUCAACAUGCCACACCACUUUUCCCCAGGUUUAGAGUAGAUAUGUAUUUAGGUAAAUCACAGAGCUUUAACUAUUCAUGUUAGAUUCCCAUCUAUGUCCAAGUUAGUAACAAGUGUUCCCACUAGAGCCCAUUUUAAAAAUUUUCUAAAAUCACACUGCAAAAAAAAAAAAAAACAAACAAAAAAACAAAACCACUGUACUUUUCAUCUUAAUUACUCAACCUGUAGAGUAAUUACCAAGGUUACACUGUGAAAUUAUCGACAUUGCUGACCCAUGGGCAGGUCAGUUUGCUACAAGAGAGACUAAUUAUCACAUGCUACAAUCUGUGUCAAGAUGCUGAAAGCAUUCUACUUUCCAAGUAUGGUAUGGUUCCCUCUCCCCCACACCACUGACGUGUUCCAUGUUAUCUUCAGUUACAAUGCAACUAAGGAAAACCACACAACUGAAUCAGAUGUACCAAAUAUUCCAGUUUGCACUUUUUAUCUGAGAACUGCAACACACUGAAUUCUGCCUGACAGAUUACAGCUCUACACCCAAACCCACGCAGUUUUGAUAUAAGCUAGCUUUAUCAUACAAGUGUUAGGUGCUGCACUGUAAUUUCAUUGUCAGAAGUAUGAUGUCAGAAUGCCCACGGAAUAAAGUACAUAUCAAGUCACCAAGUUAGAUUAUAUUGCUUGUUACCUACCUGUAUGCAGUCGGCAAUGAGAAUCUCGGAGCAAGCAGGAAUACUACAUCCGGGUCCUAAUGUCCAUUGCCAUUUGCGGUACUACGUUCCUCACAGUUACGCACUGCAGAAAUGCUGGCUAAAUGCAGUUAUGUAGCAGGCCACUACUUUAAUAGUGCAUAAUUGCAGUCCAAGAACACCAGAAAAUAUUCUGCCACAACUUAGUGGCUUGCCCAAGAAAAGCCAAGUAUCUAGAUUUUUAUCUGCCAUAAUAUGCCACUUAUAAAAUUGCACAGGCGUAACAUUACAAUUUCCCAAAUUAUUAUCUGUUUAUAUUAGUGGUAUAAUACAUCUAGUAAAGAGUGGUGUGGUUUAUAGCACUUCUCUUAGAAGUUUGCUAAACAAAGAGGAUUAUGGUUUCACUAAAGGUAAGCCAAUGGGUUAAGUUUCUAAAAUAUCUACUAAAUACCCCGGGAUCUCUCAGAGAAUGUAAAGAUCAGGAGUAGUAAGUUUAAAAACAAUCUGUUCCUCUUAAAACAAAAUUAUGAGAGAAAGUAGAGAAGAGGAAAUGAGGGCAGGUCUUUCUUUAAAUGAGAAAAAUGGCUAAAAUACUUCAAAAGUACUACCUUCCCUUUCCCACCCCAAGUUCCAUAAAUCAGCUUUUAGGAAACUACUUUUUAAGAUGAUUUAAUUCACAUUAGGCUAAAAACUAUCAUAUCCAAGACUUGUUGAAAGUCUAUUUGAGUAGCUUACAAUCCUUGGUACACUGCUGUUUCAGUGAUGAAAAGUCAAUACUUAGUGGAAACUAAGCCAACAUUAUUUGCUAAACAAUGUUUAGCAAUUCUACACAGUCUAAGGCUUUCAAAACCACAACUUUCAGGAGAUUAUCCAUUAGCAUCCUUCACCACUCUUCAAAGGUACAAUACUACCAAAACUUAUUUUAGGGGUCUGUGCCAGCAUCCCUUAUAAAGAAAGGCAUGUAAUCUGAAAAAUAAACUGAAACAUUAAUUUUAUAGGCAGAUUUCCCACUUUCCCACCAGCCCCCACCCACACACAUUCAAGUUCACCCUCUGUGGGUGUCCCAUGAACACCCCUUAUUUUCUUAUCAUUAGUGGAGUCCCUACCAUACAAUUCAAUCAAAUUGUAAUGGACUCCUUUCAAAUCAAGACCCUUGUUUACGGUACAGAAAAAUCUCAUACAUUAUCACCAAUUAAUGACUUGGGACAAAACUUCCUCAUUGACAGAAUUAUGGUCGAACCACCCAUUUCCAAGAGUCUUGGUGAAUAAAGUAAUGAACAUUUUCUAGUUAGAUUCUCCCUUAAUUAGCACACCAGAUACCUGUCUGUCACACAACCAGAAUUUGGUUGCAUGCCUUUAUACUCCACUAGAGUUUUACUUUUAGAAUUAUCAGGUUUCCUAUGCACAAAGUGCUCAAUUGUUUCAGCAAAAGGUAUCCCUUUGUACUCAGGCACAAUACUAAGCCUUCAGCAUUUUAACAAAGAGUUGAUUUAGAAUUUUACUUUUGCCAAUUAACACCAACAGAGGUGAAAAGGAGGAAGACACAUUCCAUAGUAAGAGUUCUAUAAUGUACAAAUUUGAAUGGAAACAUAACUAAGAACAAAGCCAAACCAUUCAAUUACUUUACCUACUACUUUUAGGAAGUUGUUCCUCUGCUAACAAUAUAUACACUGGGGAAGCAGAUUCCCUCUGUACUACAGACAACAGUAACAAUCUACUUUAAUAUUAAGUCAAAAUGGCUCCAAU